rnacentral:rRNA from 1 species
UUCGACGGUGAGGGGUGAAAGCUGGGGGAGCAAACCGGAUUAGAUACCCGGGUAGUCCCAGCUGUAAACUAUGCAAACUCAGUGAUGCAUUGGCUUGUGGCCAAUGCAGUGCUGCAGGGAAGCCGUUAAGUUUGCCGCCUGGGAAGUACGUACGCAAGUAUGAAACUUAAAGGAAUUGGCGGGGGAGCACCACAAGGGGUGAAGCCUGCGGUUCAAUUGGAGUCAACGCCAGAAAUCUUACCCGGAGAGACAGCAGAAUGAAGGUCAAGCUGAAGACUUUACCAGACAAGCUGAGAGGUGGUGCAUGGCCGUCGCCAGCUCGUGCCGUGAGAUGUCCUGUUAAGUCAGGUAACGAGCGAGAUCCCUGCCUCUAGUUGCCACCAUUACUCUCAGGAGUAGUGGGGCGAAUUAGCGGGACCGCCGCAGUUAAUGCGGAGGAAGGAAGGGGCCACGGCAGGUCAGUAUGCCCCGAAACUCUGGGGCCACACGCGGGCUGCAAUGGUAACGACAAUUGGUUUCGAAUCCGAAAGGAUGAGGUAAUCCUCAAACGUUACCACAGUUAUGACUGAGGGCUGCAACUCGCCCUCACGAAUAUGGAAUCCCUAGUAACUGCGUGUCAUUAUCGCGCGGUGAAUACGUCCCUGCUCCUUGCACACACCGCCCGU